rnacentral:rRNA from 1 species
GACGAACGCUGGCGGCGUGCCUAAUACAUGCAAGUAGAACGCUGAAGGAGGAGCUUGCUUCUCUGGAUGAGUUGCGAACGGGUGAGUAACGCGUAGGUAACCUGCCUGGUAGCGGGGGAUAACUAUUGGAAACGAUAGCUAAUACCGCAUAAUAGUAGAUGUUGCAUGACAUUUGCUUAAAAGGUGCAAUUGCAUCACUACCAGAUGGACCUGCGUUGUAUUAGCUAGUUGGUGGGGUAACGGCCCACCAAGGCGACGAUACAUAGCCGACCUGAGAGGGUGAUCGGCCACACUGGGACUGAGACACGGCCCAGACUCCUACGGGAGGCAGCAGUAGGGAAUCUUCGGCAAUGGACGGAAGUCUGACCGAGCAACGCCGCGUGAGGGAAGAAGGUUUUCGGAUCGUAAAGCUCUGUUGUAAGAGAAGAACGAGUGUGAGAGUGGAAAGUUCACACUGUGACGGUAUCUUACCAGAAAGGGACGGCUAACUACGUG